CAGAAUCCAGGGGACGGUUGCUGAGCGGGCCUGGGACAGCGGGUCGCUGCACCUCCCGCCUGCGCGUGUCUAAUCCGUCUGUCGGGUCCCGAAAGAGCUAAGCCGAGCCUGCGCCGGACGGGUGGGCUGGACUGAGAGAAUUCUCUGAGCUGGUGACAGGUGCCACAGGCACUGGGGAUCUCACCAGAAAGGAACCAACGGAGCUAGGGGCCAGCGAGAUGGCGGACGAGGCCUUAGCUGGGCUGGAUGAGGGAGCCCUUCGGAAGCUGCUGGAGGUCACAGCAGAUCUGGCAGAGCGGCGGCGCAUCCGCUCAGCCAUCCGGGAACUGCAGCGGCAGGAGCUGGAGCGCGAGGAGGAGGCCCUGGCAUCCAAGCGUUUCCGUGCCGAGCGGCAGGACAACAAGGAGAACUGGCUGCAGUGAGUAGCGGGGGGUGGAACAUGCGGGUGAGAAGGUGAGUGUGAGCCCCGGCUCAGCUCAUGCGUGCAGGCAGGCGUGAGCACAAGUGUAUCUGUGGAUUCCAUGUGCUAAUGGCAGUACGUCCACACACGCUUCUGGA
rnacentral:sRNA from 1 species